GUGGACGUAUCGGAAGUGCGAAUGCUGACAUGAGUAGCGACAAACAGUGUGAGAUGCACUGUCGCCGAAAGCCCAAGGGUUCCUGCUUAAAGCUAAUCUGAGCAGGGUGAGUCGGCCCCUAAGACGAGCCCGAAGGGGGUAGUCGAUGGGAACACGGUUAAUAUUCCGUGACCUGGUGGAAUGUGACGGAUCUCGUGUGUUGUCUGAUCUUAUUGGAUUGAUCAGGCUUCGAAGAGGUUCCAGGAAAUAGCUCCACCAUAUAGACCGUACCCUAAACCGACACAGGUGGGCAGGUAGAGUAUACCAAGGCGCUUGAGAGAAGUAUCCUGAAGGAACUCGGCAAAUUACCUCCGUAACUUCGGGAGAAGGAGGCCCUGUCAGAAGGCAACUUUUGGCAGGGGGCACAAGCUGGGGGGUAGCGACUGUUUAGCAAAAACACAGGACUCUGCUAAGUUGAAAGACGAUGUAUAGGGUCUGACACCUGCCCGGUGCCGGAAGGUUAAGUGGAGAUGUUAGUCUUCGGAUGAAGCAUUGAAAUGAAGCCCCGGUAAACGGCGGCCGUAACAAUAACGGUCCUAAGGUA
rnacentral:rRNA from 12 species